rnacentral:rRNA from 1 species
GNAGACGCUGCGGCGGCUUACACAUGCAAGUCGAACGGGAUCUUCAAGCUUGCUUGAAGUGAGAGUGGCGCACGGGUGCGUAACGCGUAUGCAACCUACCCUUAACAGGAGGAUAGCCCGGAGAAAUUCGGAUUAAUACUCCAUAGUAUUGCGAUAUGGCAUCGUAUUGCAAUUAAAGCUUCGGCGGUUAAGGAUGGGCAUGCGUAUGAUUAGCUAGUUGGUGAGGUAACGGCUCACCAAGGCUACGAUCAUUAGGGGUUCUGAGAGGAUUAUCCCCCACACUGGUACUGAGACACGGACCAGACUCCUACGGGAGGCAGCAGUGAGGAAUAUUGGUCAAUGGGCGAGAGCCUGAACCAGCCAUGCCGCGUGCAGGAAGACGGCCCUCUGGGUUGUAAACUGCUUUUGUAUAGGAAUAAACCACCGAACGUGUUCGGUGCUGAAUGUACUAUACGAAUAAGGAUCGGCUAACUCCGUGCCAGCAGCCGCGGUAAUACGGAGGAUGCAAGCGUUAUCCGGACUUAUUGGGUUUAAAGGGUGCGUAGGCUGACAAGUAAGUCAGUGGUGAAAUGCUCCGGCUUAACCGGGGACUUGCCAUUGAUACUGUUUGUCUGGAGUGUAUUGGGAGUCAGCGGAACGAGGGGUGUAGCGGUGAAAUGCAUAGAUAUUCCUCAGAACGCCGAUAGCGAAGGCAGCUGACUACGAUAUAACUGACGCUGAGGCACGAAAGCGUGGGGAUCAAACAGGAUUAGAUACCCUGGUAGUCCACGCUGUAAACGAUG